rnacentral:rRNA from 1 species
UACGGGGGGGGCAAGCGUUGUUCGGAAUUACUGGGCGUAAAGGGCUCGUAGGUGGCCAACUAAGUCAGACGUGAAAUCCCUCGGCUUAACCGGGGAACUGCGUCUGAUACUGGAUGGCUUGAGUUCGGGAGAGGGAUGCGGAAUUCCAGGUGUAGCGGUGAAAUGCGUAGAGAUCGGGAAGAACAUCGGUGGCGAAAGCGCUCUACUGGACGGUAUCUGACACUGAGGGACGAAAGCUAGGGGAGCGAAUGGG